GACGAACGCUGGCGGCGUGCUUAACACAUGCAAGUCGAACGAUGAAACCGGAGCUUGCUCCGGUGGAUUAGUGGCGAACGGGUGAGUAACACGUGAGCAACCUGCCCUUGACUCUGGGAUAACUGCGGGAAACUGUAGCUAAUACCGGAUACGACCCUCGGAGGCAUCUCCUGGGGGUGGAAAGAAUUUCGGUCAAGGAUGGACUCGCGGCCCAUCAGCUAGUUGGUGAGGUAACGGCUCACCAAGGCAACGACGGGUAGCCGGCCUGAGAGGGUGACCGGCCACACGGGGACUGAGACACGGCCCAGACUCCUACGGGAGGCAGCAGUGGGGAAUAUUGCACAAGGGGCGCAAGCCUGAUGCAGCAACGCCGCGUGAGGGAUGACGGCCUUCGGGUUGUAAACCUCUUUUAGUAGGGAAGAAGCGAAAGUGACGGUACCUGCAGAAAAAGCACCGGCUAACUACGUGCCAGCCGCCGCCGUAA
rnacentral:rRNA from 1 species